GACGAACGCUGGCGGCGUGCUUAACACAUGCAAGUCGAACGAAGAGCGAUGGAAGCUUGCUUCUAUCAAUCUUAGUGGCGAACGGGUGAGUAACGCGUAAUCAACCUGCCCUUCAGAGGGGGACAACAGUUGGAAACGACUGCUAAUACCGCAUACGAUCUAACCUCGGCAUCGAGGAAAGAUGAAAGGUGGCCUCUAUGUAUAAGCUAUCACUGAAGGAGGGGAUUGCGUCUGAUUAGCUAGUUGGGGGGGUAACGGCCCACCAAGGCGAUGAUCAGUAGCCGGUCUGAGAGGAUGAACGGCCACAUUGGGACUGAGACACGGCCCAGACUCCUACGGGAGGCAGCAGUGGGGAAUCUUCCGCAAUGGACGAAAGUCUGACGGAGCAACGCCGCGUGAGUGAUGACGGCCUUCGGGUUGUAAAGCUCUGUUAAUCGGGACGAAAGGCCUUCUUGCGAAUAGUGAGAAGGAUUGACGGUACCGGAAUAGAAAGCCACGGCUAACUACGUG
rnacentral:rRNA from 1 species